rnacentral:lncRNA from 13 species
GGGGCAGGCUAGUAUUUUGUCACUGCCCUGUUUUAAAAUGCCUGUUACUAUCUCCCUUGUCACAUGAUACAGAGGAUUCCUCGCCUAUUCUUGCUCUGCUCGGUUGGUUUGAAAAGUAGUUCACUACUCAGACACUAGAGGGCAAGCUUGCUCAAACUAUUCAUCCCUAUAGGUUUGUAUGCUGUAUACCCGGGACUGUCAUUCUUUAAAACAUUUUUUUUAUAUAUCCCCGUUUUCUAUACUGUCUUGUUUAGACUAAUUACUUAUUGAUAAUAAGUCAUGAAUAUUAUUGAUAAUAUUGAAAUAAAUAUGACUGACUACCAUAUGUGGCAUAGGAGAGUAUUAGUGAUCUAGCAGUUAUAUCCACAUUUAAUAUGGGAUAUAAAGUUAGUACCUGCACAGGGAUUUAUUUAAUCAAAACUAAUAGUAACAUUACCGGAUAGAUAAAAACAACAGCAACCUCUCCUUGCACUAAUAGGAACCAUGUUUCUAUGUAACACCAUUUAGCUCUUUGACAAGAUUUACUCCAGUAAAUAAAUGUUUAUUGAAUAUUGUUCAAAGCCCUUCUAUUUCAGGCGGCCAUUUUGUCUGAGAUAGGGGACAUCUCUACAUUUCAUAUCUCUACGCCUGCCAGAACAAACCUCUUGUCAAUGAGAAUCACACAUGACAUACUUUUAGCUGCAAGCCGCUCAUUCUCAAUAAUGCAACAAAUGUCUGGAAGAUAAUUCGCAUUCUCCUGCAGUAUUAAUGUCAGAAAUCUGUAUUUCCAUUUGUGUCACAUAUCGCACAAGACAGGUUCAUAGGAGACUGACUCCAGAUCUGUUGGUAAUCCGUUUUUGGGGAUGCUUUUGUUUUCUCUAAACGUUGUCCAAAGAGCUGGUUGUGUGUGUGUGCGUGUGUGUGUGUGUUUUAAUAUGCAUGUUCUUAACCUCUACACACAUCUCUAGUGAUGAUAUGUCUUGUGGCUCAGCUCCCCUCUACAGGAAUUUCUAAGAGCUGCACAGCUUGUACCCAUUAAUUCAUGUCUAUUAAAGACAGCAUGUGGUAGU